rnacentral:rRNA from 1 species
AGUGAACGCUGGCGGUAGGCUUAACACAUGCAAGUCGAACGGCAGCACGGUAAGCGCUUGCUCUUCCGGUUGGCGAGUGGCGGACGGGUGAGGGAUACAUCGGCAUCUACUUUUUCGAGGGGGACAACGUCGGGAAUCUUACGCUAAUACAGCAUACGACGUAAGGGUGGGAGCAGGAGGCCUUCGGCCCUUGCACGAUUCGAUGACCCGAUGUCGGAUUAGCUAGUUGGUGGGGUAAAGGCUCACCAAGGCGACGAUCCGUAGCUGGUCUGAGAGGACGACCAGCCACACUGGGACUGAGACACGGCCCAGACUCCUACGGGAGGCAGCAGUGGGGAAUUUUGGACAAUGGGGGCAAGCCUGAUCCAGCCAUGCCGCGUGCGGGAAGAAGGCCUUCGGGUUGUAAACCGCUUUUGUUCGGGAAGAAAUCCUCUGGGCUAAUACCCCGGGGGGAUGACGGUACCGGAAGAAUAAGCACCGGCUAACUACGUG